GGGAAAUUAGAGCACCAUGAACUUGUGUCAGUUGCCGCUCCUCAACAAGGACCAACCUUAGAUUGUGGGAUCUUUGUGAUUGAAUUCAUUAAUAGCAUUGUCGAAAAGCGAUCGAUAACAAUCUCACAAGGAGAGUGUGCAAAAUACAGAGCAAAGUUUUGUGCAGCUCUCUUGUAUGCACGCAAUUCACCAUAUUUCUGACGAUUGUAAUUCACAAGGGUGGGUGUGAUUC